rnacentral:rRNA from 1 species
CAGCAGCCGCGGGAAUACGUAGGGGGCGAGCGUUGUCCGAAGUUACUGGGCGUAAAGAGCGCGUAGGCUGGUCUUUAAGUGAGUGGUGAAAGGUUCGGGCUCAACCCGGGCACUGCCUUUCAUACUGGGGACCUUGAGUGUGGGAGAGGCGAGUGGAAUGGUCGGUGUAGCGGUGAAAUGCGUAGAUAUCGAUCGGAACACCCAUGGCGAAGGCAGCUCGCUGGCCUAACACUGACGCUGAGGCGCGAAAGCGUGGGGAGCAAACAGGAUUAGAUACCCCCGUAGUCCCUGUCUCUUAUAC